AAUAGUCCUAAGGACUUCAUUACAAUGCAGGAGUUCAAAGAUGGAUAAUUUAUAAUAAAAAUAUCAAAUAAUUUUUAUUAAUAAAAAUUUAUAUAUAAUUUAUAAGAUGAGCACAAUCAUCAAUAGGUUGACGAUUGAUUUUGGGAUACAUUUCUCAAUAUGCGGCACAUGCCCCGUUGCCCCCAGUCUGCAGCCCUGAU
rnacentral:lncRNA from 1 species